UGGGGAAUAUUGGGCAAUGGGCGCAAGCCUGACCCAGCAACGCCGCGUGAAGGAAGAAGGCUUUCGGGUUGUAAACUUCUUUUAUGAGGGACGAAAGAAAUGACGGUACCUCAUGAAUAAGCCACGGCUAACUACGUGCCAGCAGCCGCGGUAAUACGUAGGUGGCAAGCGUUAUCCGGAUUUACUGGGUGUAAAGGGCGUGUAGGCGGGACUGCAAGUCAGAUGUGAAAAUUAUGGGCUCAACCCAUAACCUGCAUUUGAAACUGUAGUUCUUGAGUGAUGGAGAGGCAGGCGGAAUUCCGUGUGUAGCGGUGAAAUGCGUAGAUAUACGGAGGAACACCAGUGGCGAAGGCGGCCUGCUGGACAUUAACUGACGCUGAGGCGCGAAAGCGUGGGGAGC
rnacentral:rRNA from 1 species